AAUUCUAGAAUUACGCACGAGCAGACAUCCGAAUUCUAGAAUUACAACUCUGACAACACGCCGGAAAAGCGCAACAACAACAAAAGGCUUUUGCUCGGUUAUUAUAGAAAGCCUGCUGCCAAAUCCAAUCACAAAGCCACAGGUGUCCAUCUCUGCUUAGCCAAAUGUUUUCAAAGCGAAAAAAAAAGCUCCUGUAUCUUCAGCAGCAGCUCUAUCUGUACAGUGCUGCUGGGAUGACAAGAUGUUACUCAAUGAACUGAACACAUCGGGAUAUUUCUCCCCCCCUCCUCUCUGCUACCAGUGCAACCUGUUGCAGCACAUCGGAUAGUCAUCGUCCCGCCUCAGGAGCGACUUCAUUGGUGGGCGGAUCCACCGAGGAGGCGGUGCCUGCUGUGGGCUCAGCUCAGUUUCAUCUCUGCACACACACACAUACAUACACAUGCACAGGUUAAUACAGACAGAGUGUGUGUGUGA